UAAAAAAAGGUAAGCUACUAAGAGCGAAUGGUGGAUGCCUUGACUGGUAAAGGCGAUGAAGGACGUACUAGACUGCGAUAAGCUACGGGGAGCUGUCAAGAAGCUUUGAUCCGUAGAUUUCCGAAUGGGGCAACCCAAUGUAUAGAGAUAUACAUUACCUAUAUAGGAGCGAACGAGGGGAAUUGAAACAUCUUAGUACCCUCAGGAAAAGAAAUCAAUAGAGAUUGCGUCAGUAGCGGCGAGCGAAAGCGCAAGAGGGCAAACCCAGUGCUUGCACUGGGGGUUGUAGGACUGCAAUGUGCAAGAGGUGAGUUUAGCAGAACAUUCUGGAAAGUAUAGCCAUAGAGGGUGAUAGUCCCGUAUGCGAAAAACAAACCUUAGCUAGCAGUAUCCUGAGUAGGGCGGGACACGAGGAAUCCUGUCUGAAUCCGGGUCGACCACGAUCCAACCCUAAAUACUAAUACCAGAUCGAUAGUGCACAAGUACCGUGAGGGAAAGGUGAAAAGAACUGAGGUGAUCAGAGUGAAAUAGAACCUGAAACCAUUUGCUUACAAUCAUUCAGAGCCCUAUGUAGCAAUACAGGGUGAUGGACUGCCUUUUGCAUAAUGAGCCUGCGAGUUGUGGUGUCUGGCAAGGUUAAGCAAACGCGAAGCCGUAGCGAAAGCGAGUCUGAAUAGGGCGCUUAGUCAGAUGCUGCAGACCCGAAACGAAGUGAUCUAUCCAUGAGCAAGUUGAAGCUAGUGUAAGAACUAGUGGAGGACUGAACCCAUAGGCGUUGAAAAGCCCCGGGAUGACUUGUGGAUAGGGGUGAAAGGCCAAUCAAACUUCGUGAUAGCUGGUUCUCUCCGAAAUAUAUUUAGGUAUAGCGUUGUGUCGUAAUAUAAGGGGGUAGAGCACUGAAUGGGCUAGGGCAUACACCAAUGUACCAAACCCUAUCAAACUCCGAAUACCUUAUAUGUAAUCACAGCAGUCAGGCGGCGAGUGAUAAAAUCCGUCGUCAAGAGGGAAACAACCCAGACUACCAGCUAAGGUCCCUAAAUCUUACUUAAGUGGAAAACGAUGUGAAGUUACUUAAACAACCAGGAGGUUGGCUUAGAAGCAGCCAUCCUUUAAAGAAAGCGUAAUAGCUCACUGGUCUAGUGAUUUUGCGCGGAAAAUAUAACGGGGCUAAAGUAAGUACCGAAGCUGUAGACUUAGUUUAC
rnacentral:rRNA from 1 species